rnacentral:rRNA from 1 species
UACGUAGGGCGCAAGCGUUGUCCGGAAUUAUUGGGCGUAAAGAGCUCGUAGGCGGCUUGUCACGUCGGGUGUGAAAGCCCGGGGCUUAACCCCGGGUCUGCAUUCGAUACGGGCUAGCUAGAGUGUGGUAGGGGAGAUCGGAAUUCCUGGUGUAGCGGUGAAAUGCGCAGAUAUCAGGAGGAACACCGGUGGCGAAGGCGGGUCUCUGGGCCGAUACUGACGCUGAGAAGCGAAAGCGUGGGGAGCGAACAGG